rnacentral:rRNA from 1 species
AACGCGAAGAACCUUACCUGGGUUUGACAUCCCGUGAAAAGUACAGAGAUGUAUAAUAGUAGCGAUACACACGGAGACAGGUGCUGCAUGGCUGUCGUCAGCUCGUGUCGUGAGAUGUUGGGUUAAGUCCCGCAACGAGCGCAACCCUUACCCUUAUUUAGCAUCAUUAAGUUGGCAACUAUAGGGGGACCGCCGGUGAUAAACCGGAGGAAGGUGGGGAUGACGUCAAGUCCUCAUGGCCCUUACGUCCAGGGCUACACACGUACUACAAUGGCCAAAACAAAGUGAUGCAAAGUCGAGAGACAGAGCAAAUCGCAAAAACAUGGUCUCAGUUCGGAUUGUGGUCUGCAACUCGACCACAUGAAGUUGGAAUCUCUAGUAAUCGCAGAUCAGCAGGCUGCGGUGAAUACGUUCCCGGGCCUUGUACACACCGCUCGUC